GUCCAAUCUGAUCUUGCAGAGCAGUAUAUAUGGGGAUAAAUACAUCUAUAGGUUCACAGACCAAUCAGAAUGCGAUCAAUUUUUUAAGGAUGCUAAAGAGACCAGGAAUGUGGUGCAUGAGGUGGUGCUAGAACCUGUUUUGUCUCAGCAAGGCGAGACAACGUCAGAGAACCGAUCGACUGGACAAGACGUAACCCAAACGUUAACACAGAUAAGGGGUUUGUGGCACCCUACGACAGAUAAUGAUGUAAUAUCUUUACUAGAUGUUAACCCAGCAGAUUCAUGGAUAAUGACGUUUCAUCAAAAUGGAGAUUUUUUUAUAAGGGAUAUUGACACCCAGGAAACGUUAUAUUUGAUGAGCACCAAAGAUGAUGUUUAUUCUGUCAAAAUCAUUACAAGGAAGCAUUGGGUUUUGGUUGGGACACAUGAUGGUUUCAUCUUGGUGUACGAGUAUGAAACAGGAAUGAAACUGAUAACAAGAUUCAAAGCGGUAUCAAACAUAUUCCAU
rnacentral:misc_RNA from 1 species